ensembl:snRNA U6 U6 spliceosomal RNA
GUGCUCACUUCGGCAGCACAUAUACUAUAAUUGAAACGAUACAGAGAUUAGCACGGCCCCUGCGUGAGGAUGACACGCAAAUUUGUGAAGCAUUCCAUAUCUUU